GUGGGGAAUUUUGGACAAUGGGCGCAAGCCUGAUCCAGCAAUGCCGCGUGCAGGAAGAAGGCCUUCGGGUUGUAAACUGCUUUUGUACGGAACGAAACGGUCCGGGUUAAUACCCUGGGCUAAUGACGGUACCGUAAGAAUAAGCACCGGCUAACUACGUGCCAGCAGCCGCGGUAAUACGUAGGGUGCAAGCGUUAAUCGGAAUUACUGGGCGUAAAGCGUGCGCAGGCGGCUUUGUAAGACAGGCGUGAAAUCCCCGGGCUCAACCUGGGAAUUGCGCUUGUGACUGCAAGGCUGGAGUGCGGCAGAGGGGGAUGGAAUUCCGCGUGUAGCAGUGAAAUGCGUAGAUAUGCGGAGGAACACCGAUGGCGAAGGCAAUCCCCUGGGCCUGCACUGACGCUCAUGCACGAAAGCGUGGGGAGCAAACAGGAUUAGAUACCCGGGUAGUCC
rnacentral:rRNA from 1 species